AAUCUUGCACUAUGGGGGAAACCCUGAUGCAGCAACGCCCCGUGAGCGAUGAAGGCGUUCGGGUCGUAAAGCUCUGUCCUAAGGGAAGAUAAUGACGGUACCGUAGGAGGAAGCGGCGGCUAACUACGUGCCAGCAGCCGCGGUAAUACGUAGGGGGCAAGCGUUAUCCGGAAUCAUUGGGCGUAAAGGGUGCGUAGGCGGCCCUAAGGGUCAGAGGUUAAAGGCUACGGCUCAACCGUAGUAAGCCUUUGAAGCUGUUGGGCUUGAGUGCAGGAGAGGAGAGUGGAAUACCUAGUGUAGCGGUGAAAUGCGUAGAUAUUAGGAGGAACACCAGUGGCGAAGGCGACUCUCUGGACUGCAACUGACGCUGAGGCACGAAAGCGUGGGUAGCGAACA
rnacentral:rRNA from 1 species